GAGUGGCAAACGGGUGAGUAACACGUGGGUGACCUGCCUUCGAGUGGGGGAUAACGUCCCGAAAGGGACGCUAAUACCGCAUGACAUCCUGCCUUUGAAGAGGCGGAGAUCAAAGCUGAAGGCCUAGCGCUUGAAGAGGGGCCCGCGCCUGAUUAGCUAGUUGGUGGGGUAAUGGCUCACCAAGGCAACGAUCAGUAUCCGGCCUGAGAGGGCGGACGGACACACUGGGACUGAGACACGGCCCAGACUCCUACGGGAGGCAGCAGUGGGGAAUUGUUCGCAAUGGGCGCAAGCCUGACGACGCAACGCCGCGUGGAGGAUGAAGACCUUCGGGUCGUAAACUCCUUUCGAUCGAGACGAAUGGUCUCUGGGUGAAUAAUCCGGAGAAGUGACGGUACCGAGAGAAGAAGCCCCGGCUAACUCCGUGCCAGCAGCCGCGGUAAUACGGGGGGGGCAAGCGUUGUUCGGAAUUACUGGGCGUAAAGGGCUCGUAGGCGGCCAACUAAGUCAGACGUGAAAUCCCUCAGCUUAACUGGGGAACUGCGUCUGAUACUGGAUGGCUUGAGUUCGGGAGAGGGAUGCGGAAUUCCAGGUGUAGCGGUGAAAUGCGUAGAUAUCUGGAGGAACACCGGUGGCGAAGGCGGCAUCCUGGACCGACAC
rnacentral:rRNA from 1 species